rnacentral:lncRNA from 1 species
UGAGGUCCUUCCACCAUUCACCAGGUUGUUUUCUAUCUCUCAAAGGAUAUCUCCUUUCAUUUGAAGAAGACUCAACUUAUUGUACUCAAUGGUCACGUCCAACCUUCUUUUCUUUUGAAGAUAAUCUUUUCUCACUCAAAGGUUCAUAAUCCUCAUCACCAUCAUCAUCAACAUCUUCAUGCUCUUCAUUACUGGUCUUAGCAAUUGUAGAGUCCUUUUUUUCCACCUUCUUUGCCUCUUCAUCUUCAUUUCCACCUUUAUAACCAUCAUUGUCUUUGUCUUCUUCCUUCUUUGCUGAAUUUGAAGAUGUGUCCACAAACACACCAUUACUCCCACU